rnacentral:hammerhead_ribozyme from 1 species
GCACUGCUGAUGAGACCCAGACAAGUCGAAACAGUUGUCCAGUGU